GACAGGAAGGAGGAAGAGGAAUAUGGGAGUAAAUUGAAUUGUUACUCCCUCAAAAGUUUUCAAGUUUCCUAUUGGGAGGCUUGACUUGGUCAAACCGGAGGCACAAAAGCAACGAACACGCAUCGAAACUAGAAUUUCCACCUCAACAGGCACAUUGGCUGCAGCAAAGAGUCCUAAGCUAAGCAAUGCCGCCUGCUUUUCUUUUGACUUGGUGAUACAUUAGUACUUUCAAUCAUAUGCGGCGGCUUCUUUUCCUUGGGAUUAGAGGAGUUAGAGGACUUUCUUUCUGUCUUGACAGUUUCAUCUUUCGACCAAUCAACCGAAAAACCAAGUGACUCAUCAGUUUGUAACCAAAAAUCACAAUGAAUUUGGCCUAGAAGAAGAGGACAGCACUAAGCAGCUAUGGAGGAUUCGUAAAAGAGUUCAACAAGAUGGAAGCCAAACCUGCUAGAUUGCAGCCUUGAACCAGUGAGUCAGUUUUGCUACUUAUCGACUCUUACCGAUCCAACAACAACAACAACAACCCAGUAUAAUCCCACUUAGUGAGGUCUGGGGAGGGGAGUGUGUACGCAGACCUUACCCCUACCCUUGGGUAGAGAGGCUGUUUCCAAAUAGGCCCCCAACAUCCUUCCCUCCAAAAACUUCCCACCUUGCUCUUGGGGAGACUCGAACUCACAACCUCUCGGUUGGAAGUGAGGGUUGCUUACCAUCAGAAACAACAACAACAACAACCCAGUAUAAUCCCACUUAGUGAGGUCUGGGGAGGGGAGUGUGUACCCAGACCUUACCCCUAUCCUGGGGUAGAGGGGCUGUUUCCAAAUAGACUCCCAACAUCCUUCCCUCCAAGAACUUCCCACCUUGCUCUUGGAGAGACUCGAACUCACAAUCUCUCGGUUGGAAGCGGGGUUGCUUACCAUCAGAGCAACCCCUCUUAUCUUACCAAUCCAUGACAAAAAAUUCUUAAU
rnacentral:lncRNA from 1 species